rnacentral:rRNA from 1 species
UUGGGUUAAGUCCCGCAACGAGCGCAACCCUUGCCAUUAGUUGCUACGAAAGGGCACUCUAAUGGGACUGCCGGUGACAAACCGGAGGAAGUGGGGAUGACGUCAAGUCCUCAUGGCCCUUAUAGGUGGGGCUACACACGUCAUACAAUGGCCGGUACAGAGGGUAGCCAACCCGGCGAGGGGGAGCCAAUCCCACAAAGCCGGUCGUAGUCCGGAUCGCAGUCUGCAACUCGACUGCGUGAAGUCGGAAUCGCUAGUAAUCGCGGAUCAGCAUGUCGCGGUGAAUACGGUUCCCGGGUCUU